ACGGGUGAGUAAUGUCUGGGAAACUGCCUGAUGGAGGGGGAUAACUACUGGAAACGGUAGCUAAUACCGCAUAACGUCGCAAGACCAAAGAGGGGGACCUUCGGGCCUCUUGCCGUCGGAUGUGCCCAGAUGGGAUUAGCUAGUAGGUGAGGUAAAGGCUCACCUAGGCGACGAUCCCUAGCUGGUCUGAGAGGAUGACCAGCCACACUGGAACUGAGACACGGUCCAGACUCCUACGGGAGGCAGCAGUGGGGAAUAUUGCACAAUGGGCGCAAGCCUGAUGCAGCCAUGCCGCGUGUGUGAAGAAGGCCUUCGGGUUGUAAAGCACUUUCAGCGGGGAGGAAGGGAGCAGGCUUAAUACGUCUGUUCAUUGACGUUACCCGCAGAAGAAGCACCGGCUAACUCCGUGCCAGCAGCCGCGGUAAUACGGAGGGUGCAAGCGUUAAUCGGAAUGACUGGGCGUAAAGCGCACGCAGGCGGUCUGUUAAGUUGGAUGUGAAAUCCCCGGGCUUAACCUGGGAACUGCAUUCAAAACUGACAGGCUAGAGUCUCGUAGAGGGGGGUAGAAUUCCAGGUGUAGC
rnacentral:rRNA from 1 species